rnacentral:rRNA from 1 species
CUCUCUGGGCAACGGAAUCUCGGCUCCGCAUCGAUUUGAAGAACAGUAGCAAAAUGCGAUUACUUUGUGUGAUUGCAGAAUCCCGUGAACCAUCGAGUUUUUGAACGCAAGUUGCGCCGAAGCCUUCGGUUUUGGGGCACGUCUGCGCUGGGGUCA